rnacentral:rRNA from 1 species
UACGUAGGCAGCGAGCGUUGUUCGGAUUUAUUGGGCGUAAAGGGCGCGCAGGCGGCCAUUUAAGUCAGGCGUGAAAGCCCCGGGCUCAACCUGGGAACGGCGCUUGGGACUGGAUGGCUCGAGUUCGGGAGAGGAGAGUGGAAUUCCCAGUGUAGAGGUGAAAUUCGUAGAUAUUGGGAAGAACACCGGUGGCGAAGGCGGCUCACUGGCUCGUUUCUGACGCUCAGGCGCGACAGCGUGGGGAUCAAACAGG